rnacentral:siRNA from 1 species
AGGCAACGCAGCAGCUAC